GCGAGGUCAGGAUUGCGGUUCAGACGCGGGGCGCCGCGCGUGGCCAGACUUCAAGCCUCUCGGAGUCAGGUGCUCCUGGUGUUCAGGCCUUCAGACUUAGACUGAGAUCGAUACCCCAGGCCUUCCAGUUUUCAGGCCUGCGGACUCCAGCUGAAUCAAGCCACUGGCUUUCCAGGUUCUCCAGUUUGCACAUGGCAGAUCGUGGGACCUCUCAGCCCCCAUAAUCCCGUGAUGGACACUUAGGCUCAUCCGUACGCCAGAUCCACAACCAACACAGUGAUAAGCACGCUCCUACGUGUAGUUUAACGAGCAGAUGUGAGACGCACGGAGAUUUCCCCAGCGCAUAUGAGCAGGGACGGGAUUGCCGGGGCCUUGGGCGUACUCACGUUUCAUGUCACCAGACCCUUUCACGCUUGCCCUCCAGCGGGGCUGUUCACGCUUCCCUUCUCUCAAUAAGGCGUGACAGUGUUCUUCUUCCCACACCCUCUCUAAGGCAUGAUAUUAUCCCACUUUUCAUUUUUGCCAGUCUGAUUGGCGUCGCUCAGGUGGUGUAGCAUCGUUUGACUGUACAUUGAGACUGACAUGUCUCUCCAUGUAUCUGUUAUCAUCCGUCGGUUUGUCUCUUGUAUCUCUUGCCCAUUUUUCUAUUACAUUUUAUGUCUUUUUCUUGUCAGUUUGCACGAGCUCCCUGUAUAUUUAUUUACCUUUUGGUUUAUUUAUUUAUUUUGAGAGAGAAAGAAAGAAUGCACGUGCGAGGGGGGGUGGAGAGAAUCCCAAGCAGGCUCCGUGUUGUCAGCACAGAGCCUGACGUGGGGCUCGAUCUCACAAACCAUGAGAUCAUGACCUGAGCGGAGAGCGAGAGUUGGACACUUAGCCCUCCGAGCCACCCAGGCGCCUCGAUCCACGUAUACUUUAAAUAUUCCUUGUGAGUUUCAUAUGCUACAAACAUCUUCUUUCAGCCCUUCACCCGGCUGGUAAAUUUGUCUUUGGUUCCCUUCACUGACCAGAAAUCUUCCAUUUUGAUAUAGUUAAAUAAAGGUUUUAUUUGUAAACAUUAUGCUCAGUGGUUUUUGGGUUUUGCUGAAGAAGAGUUCCACUGAUAUUAAGGUGAAAAAAAACCCCUUCAUUUGCUUACCUCUAUUAACUUCCCUUUCACAUUUAUGUCAUUAUUCCACAUUAUGGGUCAGUUUUCUCAGUGCCAUGUACUAAAUAACUUUUUCCUGUUGAUGUGCGACAUGACCUUCAUCAGAAAUCUGCUUCUGAUCUCUCUUUUCGUCUAUUAUUUUGUGUUUAUGUGCCAGGACUACACGAUUCUGUUACUGUGCCACAGUGGUAGUGAAAUUAAUAAUAGUUGAUACUUACAUACCAUUUUAAGUACUUUACCUGUCAAAACUUAUUUAGUUCUCACAACAAUGGAUGAGGUAGGUACUGUUCAUCCCCAUACAACUGGAUGGGAAACAGACACAGAAAGAGAAGUUAAGUAACUUGCACAAGUCAUAUAACUAGGUACUAGAGAAAGUAGAUUUGAACCCAGAUAAUGUGGCUCAAGAGCCAGUGCUCUUGGGGCACCUGGG